rnacentral:tRNA from 1 species
GGGGAUGUAGCUCAGUUGGGAGAGCGCCGCGUUCGCAUCGCGGAGGUCACGGGUUCGAAUCCCGUCAUCUCCACCA